rnacentral:pre_miRNA from 9 species
UCUCGAUAGCGUAAAAGUUAACUCAAAAUUGUAUGGAGUUGGAACGUUUGCCUAUGUUUGCGCUAGGGGCGCUGUUCCAAAAGCAUUCAAAUUUGAGUUUUAACUUUUACGCUAUCGA